rnacentral:lncRNA from 1 species
UGCAAAGGUACCGGAUCAACCACCAUCUUCAACAAUGUCAGAAUAUCCCCAUACUGAUCAUCAAACACCUUCUGAUUACAACCGGUCACCAGAUUACUCAAUUCUGCCAAAGAUGUCAACGGCUCACGGUAAAAGCUGUAGGUGCAAAUAUUCCUCUUCAACUCUGGAAUGGCUGUCAUCUCUCAAUGUGAACAGACUCCCGAAUGAACCUGAGAAGUGAUAUGCAUGUGCAAGUUAGCUUUUUU